AGCCGGAGGUCUCAGCAUCUCUGUGCCCCAGGGCUGAGCUGUCCAGGUUCCUUAGAAGCUCUGAAGAUCUGCAGAUGCCCUGGCUUCCAGACAUCACUAUUACUAACUGGGUGGACAGUCGUGGAGAGUUCAGCCAAGGCCUCAGAUAGGACACCACCAUCAGACCAAAGAAUUACAGGAAAAUACAUGAGAGAUUCCUUAUAGGAACAUGGACGAGUCAGGGGCAGCAGCAUCACUGGAAACCACACUCUAGCAUGGGAAACCAUGCCUUAAGAUACUGCCUGAAUCAGACUUGAGGGCUUCUCGACAUUGUGAGUUCGCUGAUGGUGAUUAAAGGUGGAACGCUGACUAAAGGCUUUCCCACAUUCAGCACAUUCAUAAGGCUUCUCACCAGUGUGAACUCUCUGGUGCACAAUAAGCUGUGAACUGUCACCAAAGGCUUUCAUGCAAUCUUUACAUUUAUAGGGCUUUUCACCAGUAUGGGUUCUCUGAUGAACCAUAAGGCUAGAACUAUAACUAAAGACCUUCCCACACUCAUUACAUCCAUAAGGUUUUUCACCAGUGUGAAUUCUCUGGUGUAUAAUGAGGUGAGAGUUUUGAUUGAAGGAUUUUCCACACUCACUGCAUUUAUAGGGCUUUUCUCCAGUGUGAAGUCUCUGGUGCCGAAUAAGGCAUUUACCUAAACUGAAUUUCUUACCACAUUCACUACAUUCAAAAGGCUUUUCACCAGUAUGAACUCGUUUGUGGUCAAUGAGCUGAGAGUUCUGACGGAAGGCUUUCCCACAUUCACUACAUUUGUAUGUUUUUUCCCCAGUGUGGAGACUCUGGUGUCGAGUAAGACACUUACUCUGACUGAAGGACUUGCCACAUUCAAUACAUUCAUAAGGCUUCUCCCCAGUGUGGAUUCUCUGGUGGUCAAUAAGAUUUCUGUUGGUAUAGAAGGCUUUCCCACACUCAUUACACUCAUAGGGCUUCUUACUAAUGUGAAGGACCUGAUGUUGAAUAAGACUUUUAUUCCAAAUG
ensembl:lincRNA uncharacterized LOC110301029